rnacentral:pre_miRNA from 1 species
UUUAAGUGCAGCCAUGUUUUUCCGUGCUAAACUUUGAUCGUCCGUCUUAUUUAAUUUUUUUUCAAAAAAUAAAAACAUAAGUCACACAUAAAGUACUAUUCAUGUUUUAUCAUCUCAUAACAACAAAAAUACUAAUUAUAAAAAAAAUUCAAAUAAGACGGACUAUUAAAAUUAGGCACGAAAACUUAUGGUUGCACUUAAA